UGGGGAAUCUUGCACAAUGGGGGCAACCCUGAUGCAGCGACGCCGCGUGAGCGAUGAAGCCCUUCGGGGUGUAAAGCUCUUUCGGCAGGGAAGAUAAUGACGGUACCUGCAGAAGCAGCUGCGGCUAACUACGUGCCAGCAGCCGCGGUAAUACGUAGGCAGCGAGCGUUGUUCGGAGUUACUGGGCGUAAAGGGUGUGUAGGCGGUUGUUUAAGUUUGGUGUGAAAUCUCCCGGCUCAACUGGGAGGGUGCGUCGAAUACUGAAUGACUAGAGUGCGGGAGAGGAAAGUGGAAUUCCUGGUGUAGCGGUGAAAUGCGUAGAUAUCAGGAGGAACACCGGUGGUGUAGACGGCUUUCUGGACCGUAACUGACGCUGAGACACGAAAGCGUGGGUAGCAAACAG
rnacentral:rRNA from 1 species